rnacentral:rRNA from 1 species
GGACGAACGCUGGCGGCGUGCCUAAUACAUGCAAGUAGAACGCUGAAGGAGGAGCUUGCUUCUCUGGAUGAGUUGCGAACGGGUGAGUAACGCGUAGUGUAACCUGCCUGGUAGCGGGGGAUAACUAUUGGAAACGAUAGCUAAUACCGCAUAAGAGUAGAUGUUGCAUGACAUUUGCUUAAAAGGUGCAAUUGCAUCACUACCAGAUGGACCUGCGUUGUAUUAGCUAGUUGGUGAGGUAACGGCUCACCAAGGCAACGAUACAUAGCCGACCUGAGAGGGUGAUCGGCCACACUGGGACUGAGACACGGCCCAGACUCCUACGGGAGGCAGCAGUAGGGAAUCUUCGGCAAUGGACGGGAGUCUGACCGAGCAACGCCGCGUGAGUGAAGAAGGUUUUCGGAUCGUAAAGCUCUGUUGUAAGAGAAGAACGAGUGUGAGAGUGGAAAGUUCACACUGUGACGGUAUCUUACCAGAAAGGGACGGCUAACUACGUGCCAGCAGCCGCGGUAAUACGUAGGUCCCGAGCGUUGUCCGGAUUUAUUGGGCGUAAAGCGAGCGCAGGCGGUUAGAUAAGUCUGAAGUUAAAGGCUGUGGCUUAACCAUAGUACGCUUUGGAAACUGUUUAACUUGAGUGCAAGAGGGGAGAGUGGAAUUCCAUGUGUAGCGGUGAAAUGCGUAGAUAUAUGGAGGAACACCGGUGGCGAAAGCGGCUCUCUGGCUUGUAACUGACGCUGAGGCUCGAAAGCAU